rnacentral:rRNA from 1 species
GACGAACGCUGGCGGCGUGCUUAACACAUGCAAGUCGAACGGAAAGGCCCUGCUUUUGUGGGGUGCUCGAGUGGCGAACGGGUGAGUAACACGUGAGUAACCUGCCCUUGACUUUGGGAUAACUUCAGGAAACUGGGGCUAAUACCGGAUAGGAGCUCCUGCUGCAUGGUGGGGGUUGGAAAGUUUCGGCGGUUGGGGAUGGACUCGCGGCUUAUCAGCUUGUUGGUGGGGUAGUGGCUUACCAAGGCUUUGACGGGUAGCCGGCCUGGGAGGGUGACCGGCGACAUUGGGACUGAGGUACGGCCCAGACUGCUACGGGAGGCAGCAGUGGGGAAUAUUGCACAAUGGGCGGAAGCCUGAUGCAGCAACGCCGCGUGCGGGAUGACGGCCUUCGGGUUGUAAACCGCUUUCGCCUGUGACGAAGCGUGAGUGACGGUAAUGGGUAAAGAAGCACCGGCUAACUACGUG